AUUGAACGCUGGCGGCAUGCUUUACACAUGCAAGUCGAACGGCAGCGCGGGCUUCGGCCUGGCGGCGAGUGGCGAACGGGUGAGUAAUACAUCGGAACGUGCCCAGUAGUGGGGGAUAGCUCGGCGAAAGCCGGAUUAAUACCGCAUACGACCUGAGGGUGAAAGCGGGGGAUCUUCGGACCUCGCGCUCUUGGAGCGGCCGAUGGCAGAUUAGCUAGUUGGUGGGGUAAAGGCCUACCAAGGCGACGAUCUGUAGCGGGUCUGAGAGGAGGACCAGCCACACGGGGACUGAGACACGGCCCAGACUCCUACGGGAGGCAGCAGUGGGGAAUUUUGGACAAUGGGCGAAAGCCUGAUCCAGCAAUGCCGCGUGUGUGAUGAAGGCCUUCGGGUUGUAAAGCACUUUUGGCGGGAACGAAAAGGACUGUGCCAAUACCACGGUUCGAUGACGGUACCCGCAGAAUAAGCACCGGCUAACUACGUG
rnacentral:rRNA from 1 species